rnacentral:lncRNA from 1 species
CUGCUUUCAGCAGCACAGGUGGAAUGAGUUGGCUCAAUGACUGCAGGAUCCUCACAGUCAGGAGCACACUUGGAAGUAGUUGGCUCAACAUCAGCAGGAGCCCCAUUGACAGCAGCACAGGUGGAAGAAUUUGGCUCAGCAUCAGCAGGAGCCCUGCUGUCAGCAGCACAGGUGGAAUGAGUUGGCUCAAUGACUGCAGGAUCCUCACAGUCAGGAGCACACUGGGAAGAAGUUGUUGGCUCAUCAUCAGCAGGAGCCCCAUUGACAGCAGCACAGGUGGAAGAAUUUGGCUCAGCAUCAGCAGGAGCCCUGCUGUCAGCAGCACAGGUGGAAUAAUUUGGCUCAGCAUCAGCAGGAGCCCUGCUGUCAGCAGCACAGGUGGAAUGAGGUGGCUCAAUGACUGCAGGAUCCUCACAGUCAGGAGCACACUGGGAAGAAGUAGUUGGCUCAACACCAGCAGGAGCCCCAUUGACAGCAGCACAGGUGGAAGAAUUUUGCUCAGCAUCAGCAGGAGCCCUGCUGUCAGCAGCACAGGUGGAAUGAGUUGGCUCAAUGUCACCAGGAGCCUCAAGCACAUGAAUUCUAUGCUUCCGAGGAAAGGUACGGAAAAUAGGUGGUUUAUUUCCUCGCACCUAUAAGGAAAAUUGGCAAUGUUACUUUUGAUUUAAAGUUUCACUGAUUUUAUUCAUUUUAUCACCUGUCUGCUAAUGUCAGAAUCUUGAUUUAUAGUCCCCAAAAUGUUUCUGUAUUCAGACCAACUUCAUCACUAAGGACACUAUCUGAUAUUCAGCAACCUCUGCUUCCUUUCUGCAUGAUGAGUAAAAGGCCCAGAGUAUCUAGAAAUCUUUGAUGGGGACCUGCUUAGUGUUAUGCUUUUAUCUUCUGCUCUUUGCUACCUCACAUCAUCAUUCUCUACAAAAUGGAAAGACAUAAAAAGAAAGGACAAAAUGUGUCCUCUCCUGUCUUUAUGACCUGAAUUUUGAAUUCCAGCCAGAUGAGGUGAAUAGGGCAGUGAGGUGCUCUGAAAACAAAAGGAACCUCUCUCUUCUGCACUACACUAACCCUUCCCCAAUGAAUGAUCUUCCACAGUUGUCCAUUAGAUACCUGGGAUAUCAGAACAGUGGAGCUGAAUUAUAAAAUGCAUGAAUCAAGUAUGUCACUACCUACAGCAGAGGGGAAUUGCUGAGUUCCAUGGAUGGAUUCUAUAUAUGCCUUCCAAAAUCUCACCUAUUAGCUCUAUGUCAAAGUAACUUUUAUGCACUAGGUGUAAUUGUAAUCUUUGAUGCUUACUACCUCCAUCUGAGUGAUAACCUAGACCUAGUCCUGGAAGCUUCUAGCCUCUGUGAAACUUAGCAUAGGCCUAGAAUAUUUUCUGCCUCUCAUACUUACUGCUGAAUAAGCACACCAUUAUUUCUGGUUCUUUUUCAUCUCUGGCUGACUGGUUCAACUCAGGUGUUCUAGCUCAAAGCUGCUCCCCAUGCUAACUGAUUCAGUCUGGAUUCUCUCUUGGCCUCUGAUGUUUUUUGUUCUGCUUGACCUCAAACUAACUAGCAAUUUUUUUCUAAUCUUCUGACUCCUUCAUAUUCUCUGGUUCAUUCUGCCUUCACCCGUGUCUUGCUGGUUCUCUCUUCAAUGAAUCUCUCUAAAACUGUCUGGGUAAAAAUGCCUCCUCUCUCUGUUUCUCUCUGCACUACCUCUCAAGUAGCUUCCCUUUCCUUUCUUCUUGAGAGAGUUGGACACAUUCUAUUUAAUCAAAACUUUCUCUGAUUCAUCAACUUCUCUGCCAUGCAAUUAGACAUCACUUUCAGACAAGGUGCUUCAUUCUACAAACUAACUUUACCUUGAUUGUUUAGGAUUAAGGGUGUUUACUAAGGAGGUGUCUGUAUUCUGGCUAGAGGGAUUAAAGUUUGGUGCAAAGGCUGAGUCACACAAUAACUAGACAAGAGUUUAUUGAGUAAACAACACAAUCAAACACAAGCACAGCAUGAUCAGCUAUCCUGCAUCACCAUGACUGUUGUUACACAGAGAGGAUGAAUAUAAUGACUUGAUCCAGCACCUCUGUGGUGGCUUGAAUGUCAGAGGCCCAUAGGCUCAUAUAAUGCUUGCUCUCCAGAUGGCUGACCUAUUCUGGAAAGGAUUAGAAGUUGUGGCCUUUUUGUUGGAUAUGUGUAACUGGGAUGGGCUUUAAGAUUACACUAGACAGGUGCCAUUCUCGUAAAGUUCUCUCUUUCCUGUGUAGGUCAAUAUGUGAUCAUUCUGCUGCUGCUUCAGUACCAUGCCUGCUGCCUGAGCCAUGAUGGUGAUGUGUGCAUUC